rnacentral:misc_RNA from 1 species
AACGCACAUUGCGCCCGCCAGCACCCUGGCGGGCAUGCCUGUCCGAGCGUCAUUUCUCCCCUCGCGGCCCUCGCGGCGCGGUGUUGGGAGCGGCCGCGCCCCUCAGCGCGCGGCCCUCCCCAAAUGCAGUGGCGGACCCCGCCGCAGCCUCCCCUGCGUAGUAGCACACCUCGCACCGGAGAGCGGCGCGGUUCUCGCCGUGAAACCCCCCACACGCACCAGGUUGACCUCGGAUCAGGUAGGAAUACCCGCUGAACUUAA